rnacentral:rRNA from 2 species
AAACUUUUGGUCAAGCUACAAAGGGUUUAUGAAGGCUGACUUGGUUAUGCCAGGCGAUGAAGGACGCGGUAAGCGGCGAUACUGCUUGGGGUAGCUGCAAACAAGCGUUAAUCCCAAGAUUUCCGAAUGGGGCAACCCAUCCUGAGUCAUAUCAGGAUACGCAAGCCUAAAAUUUAAAAUAGGGUUUGCGGGCGAUACCUAGAGAAUUGAAACAUCUAAGUAACUAGUGGAAAAGAAAACGAAUGUGAUUUCCCCAGUAGUGGCGAGCGAAAAGGAAAGAGCCUAAACCCUUGACGCGCAAGUGUCAGGGGGGUUGUGGGACCUCACUGUGGUAGGUUAAGGGAUAGCAGAAGUGCAUGGAAAGGCACGCAAUAUAGAGUAAAAGCCUCGUAUGCGAAAUUCCAAGACCGCCUAGAGGUAUCCCAAGUACUACGGGACACGUGAAACCCUGUAGGAAUCCAGGCCGACCAUGGCCUAAGGCUAAAUACUAGGCAUAGACCGAUAGCGCACAAGUACCGUGAGGGAAAGUUGAAAAGAACCCCGGCUAGGGGAGUGAAAUAGAACCUAAAAUCAUAAACCUACAAGCUGUUGAAGGGCUAUGUCCCGUCGUAAGGCGGGAAAUGCCUGACAGCGUACCUUUUGUAUAAUGGCCCGGCGAGUUACUGUAUGGUGCAAGCUUAAGCCUUUCAUGAAAGUGCAUGGCGAUGGCGAAGCGAAAGCGAGUCCUAAAUGGGCGUCCAUAGUACCAUAUAGUAGACCCGAAACUGAGUGAUCUACCCAUGGCCAGAGUGAGCCCCGACGAAAGUCGGGGGGAGGCUCGAACCCAUCGGCGUUGAAAAACCGUGGGAUGAGCUAUGGGUCGGAGCGAAAGACUAAACAAACUCAGAAAUUGCUGGUUCUCCUCGAAAUAGUUUUAGGACUAGCCUUGUGCCACUACAUCGUAGGGGUAGAGUGCUGAAUGGACUAGGGACCUUACCAGGUUGCCAAAUCCAACCAAACUCCGAAUACUACGAUGACUAUCACAGGAGUCAGACGGUGGGGGCUAAGCUUCAUCGUCAAAAGAGAAACAGCUCAGACCUCCAGUUAAGGUCCCUAAAUAUAGGCUAAGUGGUAAAGGAUGUAAAAUCGCAUAGACAAUCAGGAUGUUGGCUCAGAGGCAGCCAUCAUUUAAAGAGUGCGUAACAGCUCACUGGUCGAGCGGUUUUGCGCCGAAGAUGAUCGGGGCUUAAGCCUAUUACCGAAGCUGAGGAUUUAUUUUGGAUUCGUCCAAAAUAAGUGGUAGAGGAGCGUUCUGUCAUUUCGUUGAAGGCGUACCGUAAGGAGCGCUGGAGAAGACAGAAGUGAAUAUGUCGGGAUGAGUAGCGAAAAGAUCUGCGAGAAACAGAUCCACCGAAAGCCUAAGGUUUCCUGGGGAAGGUUAAUCCACCCAGGGUUAGUCGAUCCUAAGCUGAGGCUAAACAGCGUAAGCGAUGGAUAUGCCGUUAAUAUUCGGCAACUGGUUAAAUGGUGCUUGAAGUUAGUGAGUGACGCGGAAGGCAUGGGUCUGCCGAGUGUUGGAUGUCUCGGUUCUUGUCUCGGGGACGGGAUGAGGGGACCCUGAGGUUUCCGAUGGGGAAGUGAUUCAAUGUUCAUGUCGCCAAGAAAAGCUUAUUAACUAAAUCAUUUAGCCACUCGUACCGUAACCCGACACAGGUAGGCCUCCAGAGAAUGGUAAGGUGCUCGAGAGAACCCUCGUUAAGGAACUCGGCAAUCUAGCCUCGUAACUUCGGGAGAAGAGGUACCUCAGAUGGUAAGUUCAUCAGAAUGAAGCUGUCUGAGGUCACAGUAAAGGGGCCCGUGUGACUGUUUAGUAAAAACACAGCACUCUGCGAACUCGAAAGAGGAUGUAUAGGGUGUGAUACCUGCCCGGUGCUGGAAGGUUAAGGGGAGUUGUCAUCCGCCGUAAGGUGGAGAAGCGGCGAACUGAAGCCCCAGUAAACGGCGGCCGUAACUAUAACGGUCCUAAGGUAGCGAAAUUCCUUGUGGGGUAAGUUCCCACGCGCACGAAUGGUUUAACAACAUGGGCGCUGUCUCGACGAGGGGCUCGGCGAAAUUGUAGUGGCGGUGAAGAUGCCGUCUACCCGCAUCAAGACGAAAAGACCCCGGAACUUUUACUGUAACCUGGUAUUGGAUUUUGGUUCAAUCUGCGUAGUAUAGGUGGGAGGCUUUGAAGCCUUGGUUUUGGCUGGGGCUGAGCCGCAAUGUGAAAUACCACCCUUAUUGAAUUAAGGUUCUAACUUUGACCUCUCUAUCGAGGCAGAAGACAGUGCCAGGCGGGCAGUUUGACUGGGGCGGUUCCCCUCUAAAAUGUAACGAGGGGGUUCCAAGGUUGGCUCACUGCGGUCGGCAAUCGCAGGUGGAGUGCAAAAGCAUAAGCCAGCUUAACUGCGCAUCCGACAGGACAAGCAGAUACGAAAGUAGGAUUUAGUGAUCCGGUGGUUGAAUAUGGGAUCGCCAUCGCUCAACGAAUAAUAAGUACUCCGGGGAUAACAGGCUGAUCGCGCUCGAGAGUUCAUAUCGACAGCGCGGUUUGGCACCUCGAUGUCGGCUCAUCCUAUCCUGGGGCUGGAUAAGGUCCCAAGGGUCCGGCUGUUCGCCGGUUAAAAGGGUACGCGAGCUGGGUUUAGAACGUCGUGAGACAGUAAAAUGACCGUUGCUGUCUAAAAAUCUGGCUAAUUGCUGGAAAAUCUGAGUAUCCCGUAUUACUACUUGACGAUUUAGUCUCUAUAUGAGAUCAUAAUCUAAAGGAGUGAAAAUAUAUGGGUGCAGACAAUCAGCAGGAAAGGCCUUAAGCACGAAGAUGCACGAAUAAAAUAACGAAUACACACUAAUUUAUUUGUGUUAAUUCGAUAAAAAUUCGUGAUAAUUUGUGCUCAAGGAAUCUUCAGAGACUAUACGCCAGACUCUCCAAAAGGAGAAGAAGAUAUAGUCCGAACUGUAUAGCGAUAUGCAGAGACGGACAGAAAUGUGCCGUCCACCUAAGAUGUUUUACGGCUUAGGGAGUAACAGAAUUGUCGGUCUCUAUCUGAUGUGGGUGUAAGGAUACUUGAAGAGGAGCUCCCUAUAGUACGAGAGGACCUGGGGAGACGAACCUCUGGUGUUUCAGUUGUCCUGCCAAGGGCAGAAGCUGAGUAGCCAUGUUCGGAAGGGAUAAGCGCUGAAAGCAUCUAAGUGCCAAGCCCCCCUCGAAAAUAGGUAUCCCUGUCCGCAAGGACUGAAGGCUGGUCGUAGACUACGACCUUGAUAGGCGCAGGGUGUAAGAUCCGUAAGGAUUUCAGCUGAUGCGUACUAAUAGCCAAUCGGCUUGACCUUAUAU